CAAUAUAAUAAGAGGAGCCCUUGGUAGAGAUUGAAUCAUGGAAUUGUUCAUGGCUCCCACCCUCAUUCCAAUAAAGUUUUCAUCUUUCUUCUUCCCUUUUGAUUCUCCUUGUGUUAGAAACCAAAGCUUGUACAGUUCGCAUAGAAGGAGGCGACAGGUUUGAGGCAAUGACUGCAAUACUUACAAAAAAUAUAAGUGAUCAAGUGCGACAUACUGUCAAUCCAUAAAUCCACUAAAUGCGAACCGCUCCAGAUAUCGUCUUCAGUUUUGGAUGACUUGACUUGAACAUUCAUUUUCAACUAACCUGAAGAUUGCAUUGCAGCCUUUGGUUUUGAUUCUUUGAAUGAUUUUGACUGUUGUGCGCGGCGGAAGCUUCGAGGAGUGACACGAACAAUUCAAGAGAUAAACCAUAACCAAUAAGCAAAUCACAACCACAACAAGAACAAACGAUUUACGUGGUUCGGCAAGUUGUCUACGUCCACAGAUUGUUGCCUCAAGCUUGUUGCCUCCCUCUAUGUGAACUAGAGAGUACAAUGCCUGAUUUCAAGUAAUGCAGCAACCGUCAUACAAAAGUAGACUUUUGCUGAUCAUGAAAAGCUUAUCAAAGAGAUGGUCUUUCUGGAGAGUUGGUGAGGAACAUGACUAGGAGAGUAAGUGGAGCUGAAAUAGGUACUAUGUCUGCAUGUGAUUUACUUUCAUACAAUAUAAACAUGAAUUAUGUCAUGUACAUAUUCAUAUUGGACAAACAUAAGUUCAGAUUUGUAUCUGGUUCAGAUACUUGAUUGAUGUUCGGAAGGAAAAAUGAGGUCAACCGACUCAACCCCCAUGUUUAAUCUAUAUGCUAAUGUAAAAGUUCUUUUUAGCUACGUGCACCUUUUACGUUCUCGUAUAUUCUAAUAUAUAAUAAGUUAUUAAAUAUGUGCUUGGAUAUUUGGGAUAGUUCAGCACUAUCCACUAUCAAUAGGAUA